GUGCUUAUAGCUCAGCAGGAUAGAGCGUCCGCCUCCUAAGCGGAAGGUCGUGGGUUCGAAUCCCGCUAAGCACG
rnacentral:tRNA from 1 species